rnacentral:rRNA from 1 species
CCUACGGGUGGCAGCAGUGGGGAAUAUUGCACAAUGGGCGAGAGCCUGAACCAGCAAAGUCGCGUGAAGGAUGACGGGCCUACGGGUUGUAACCUUCUUUUAUAGAGGAAUAAAGUGAGACACGUGUGCAUUUUUGUAUGUACUUUAUGAAUAAGGAUCGGCUAACUCCGUGCCAGCAGCCGCGGUAAUACGGAGGAUCCGAGCGUUAUCCGGAUUUAUUGGGUUUAAAGGGAGCGUAGAUGGGAUGUUAAGUCAGUUGUGAAAGUUUGCGGCUCAACCGUAAAAUUGCAAUUGAUACUGGCAGCCUUGAGUACAGUUGAGGUAGGCGGAAUUCGUGGUGUAGCGGUGAAAUGCUUAGAUAUCACGAAGAACUCCGAUGGCGAAGGCAGCUUACUAAACUGCCACUGACAUUGAUGCACGAAAGUGUGGGUAUCAAACAGGAUUAGAUACCCGAGUAGUC